rnacentral:sRNA from 1 species
GCGGAGGAAAAGAAACCAACAGGGAUUGCCCUAGUAACGGCGAGUGAAGCGGCAUCAGCUCAAAUUUGAAAUCUGGCUCUUUCAGAGUCCGAGUUGUAAUUUGCAGAGGGCGCUUUGGCGUUGGCAGCGGUCUAAGUUCCCUGGAACAGGACGUCACAGAGGGUGAGAAUCCCGUAUGUGGUCGCUGGCCUUCGCCGUGUAAAGCCCCUUCGACGAGUCGAGUUGUUUGGGAAUGCAGCUCUAAAUGGGAGGUAAAUUUCUUCUAAAGCUAAAUACUGGCCAGAGACCGAUAGCGCACAAGUAGAGUGAUCGAAAGAUGAAAAGCACUUUGGAAAGAGAGUCAAAUAGCACGUGAAAUUGUUGAAAGGGAAGCGCUUGCAGCCAGACUUGCCUGUAGUUGCUCAUCCGGGCUUUUGCCCGGUGCACUCUUCUGCGGGCAGGCCAGCAUCAGUUUGGGCGGUUGGAUAAAGGUCUCUGUCAUGUACCUCCUUUCGGGGAGGCCUUAUAGGGGAGACGACAUGCAACCAGCCUGGACUGAGGUCCGCGCAUCUGCUAGGAUGCUGGCGUAAUGGCUGUAAGCGGCCCGUCUUGAAACACGGACCAAGGAGUCUAACAUCUAUGCGAGUGUUUGGGUGUCAAGCCCGAGCGCGUAAUGAAAGUGAACGGAGGUGGGAUCCCUUAAGGGUGCACCAUCGACCGAUCCUGAUGUCUUCGGAUGGAUUUGAGUAAGAGCAUGGCUGUUGGGACCCGAAAGAUGGUGAACUAUGCUUGAAUAGGGUGAAGCCAGAGGAAACUCUGGUGGAGGCUCGCAGCGGUUCUGACGUGCAAAUCGAUCGUCAAA